UCAAAACGUUAGCAGAAUUAGCCAAAAAAAGAAAAAUCAGAACAUAGAGAGAGACCCAUCCCACACGUUCACAGGGGAGAUAGGCCAAAAAUGGGCUGCGUUUUUUUUUUUUUUACCAACUUUUUUUGGACCAACUUAAGAUUUGAAGUAUUUUUAAUACACACAGAAACUGACAUUGAUGUAUACAAUUUUACAAUAGCACUCACAGUCACUCAGAAAUUCCAAAACAAAUAACUGUUCGUCUCUCUUGGCGAUCAUGGCAAUCGCAUACCUCUUCGUCUCUUGGCGCGGCGGUCUCAGCUCCUCUGAUUAGAUACGAAUUGGUUCUCUCUCUUCUACGCCUAAGCCUCGGGGAAGUGAAAAAGGUUGGGUGAUUAUUAAGAGAAAAAAGAAAGGCUCCUUGAAGAUUGUUUGGGUAGGCCCUAUUCUGAGCACUUAGCAAGAAUUUGCAGGAUUUCAGUCUCUCUCAGAAGAUUGGUGUAAUUCCUCAAAUACACUCUGCUUCUUAUGGAUUUUCACCUACAAAGCCAAAGACUUGUGCUAUAUGGGUGAAAAAAGAUUCUCUAAGGACUGAAAGACUGGUCAAAAGAGCAAAAAAGGAAGUCCUCAAGGUUCAUCUUGGCACCGAUUGACGCUUCACGAGAAAUUCAUCGCUCUGUCUAUCUCUCACUCAGUCUAAUUCUCUAUUUCUCUUUGAUUCUUUGCUGUUAUUAUUAUUAUUAUUUUGGUUUGAUUAUUUGUUUGGUUUUUGAAUAGCGGCUAGGGAUUUAGAGGAAAUUCAAGAGCUGUUGAGAUUGGUCGAUGGCACUGUAAACCCUUCAGUUUCUCAAAGAUUGCAAAGCCAGUGUCUCUGGAAACAGCAAGUUCUAAAUACCCAUCAACGAUUCCAGUCUCUGCUAAAAAGCUUUGGUUGCCCUGGCCGUCUUAAACCUUAACAGAUGUAGUAGUCUAAAUGAUGAUGGAUGGGAGAAAUUUUCUGGGAAUAAAAACUUGAAGGUAUUGAGCUUGGGAUUCAACAAUAUUACUGAUGCCUGUUUGGUGCAUCUUAAAGGUUUAACGAAUUUGGAAAGUUUGAACUUGGAUUCCUGUGGGAUAGGUGAUGAAGGGCUUGCUAAUCUGACAGUGUCAAAUAAAAACUGCAUCAUCAAAAACCCUUACCGAGAUCUCUCUAAUCUAGCAGGACCGAAAGACUGGUCAAAAGAGUAAAAGAGGAAGUCCUCAAGGUUCAUCUUGGCACCGAUUGACGCUUAUUGAGAAAUUCUUCGCUUUGUCUAUCUCUCACUCGCGGCAUACCAUUUCCCCCACCAACACAGAAGUAAAUUAACAUGGUUGAAUUUGAAGGAACGAAAUUGAAAAAUCUUUGCCCCAUUUCGUGGUUUCAUUGCCAGAGAGAAUUACAUUUUGCGUGUCAAGGAAUUAUGAGUAGCUGAGUGCUGUCUUUUAUGCUUUAAGGUUUCUCAGAAUUGCCAAAGUCAAAUGGUUUCCUAAUUAUUGAAGCAAAUGGUGGGUUGAACCAACAGCGCUUAUUGCUUGUUUUAAGAAUGCUGUCUAUAAAGCACUGAAGCGGGCAACUGAAAGGGAGAUUUCUCAAAGUGCUGAUGUCAUCUGUUGCACAUGUGUUGGUGCUGGAGAUCCUUGAUUGGCAAAUUUUAGGUUCCGCCAGGUUGAAAUGCAUCUAACAUGUGGAAGUUUGUCUAGGAUUCACUUGUUUAAAAGUUUACUCUUUUUAACUUUUUUUUUUUUUUUUUUUUUUUUUUUUUUUUUUUUUUUUUUUUUUUUUUUUUUUUUGCUGCUAUUGGUAUA